rnacentral:rRNA from 1 species
AGCGAACGCUGGCGGCAGGCCUAACACAUGCAAGUCGAACGAACCUUUCGGGGUUUGUGGCGGCCGGCUGAGUCACCCGUGGGAACGUGCCCUUAUGUUUGGCCUAACUCAGGGAAACUUGUGCUAAUACCGAAUGUGCCCUUCGGCGGAAAGAUUUAUCGCCUUUCGUGCGGCCCGCGUCUGAUUAGCUAGUUGGUUGAGGUAAUGGCUCACCAAGGCGACGAUCAGUAGCUGGUCUGAGAGGAUGAUCAGCGACCUUGGGACUGAGACACAGCUCAGACUCCUACGGGAGGCAGCAGUGGGGAAUCGUGCGCAAUGGGCGAAAUCCUGACGCAGCCAGGCCGCGUGAAUGAUGAAGGUCGUAGGAUUGUAAAAUUCUUUCACCGGGGACGAUAAUGACGGUACCCGGAGAAGAAGCCCCGGCUAACUUCGUG